CUACAGCUAUUUUCAGUUGUUAGACUGAAACGUCCUUUUCAUCUCUGCAAUCUCAUUCAGUCCCUUAGCAUUGUGGGGAUGCAGGCAAACCACUAUAAAUAACUGAACCUUUUUGUGUCAGCUGGUACAAAUACCAGCCACUUCGAACAAUCUGACCUUUCUUGGGGAUUCUGACCAAUCUGCAGUGGAAGUUGGCUGAUAUCUUUCAGGAUUUUCCGCAGUUAAGGAAAUGAGUGCCUGAGGUGGAAUGAUCUUGUGGGGGAACUGAGCAAGAUGCAAUUUAAUGCCUCCCCUCUCAGAGUCAGAGAGCAUCCAGCCUGGGAGAGAGAAGCUGAUAGCCCACAACUGCCAUGUCCCCAAAGGGGUUGUACUUCAGAUUCUUGGGAACAUGACCCAUGAAGCCCAAUAACAAAGGCAGUCAGGCUGGUGACUCAAACUGGAGACUUCCCUGUCAUCUCAGCCUCGCUGCUCCACUCCUCUGACUACCUCCAAGCCCUGCAGAGCACUGCUCUCCCUCCUCAGUGGAAUUCUGUAAUCCCUGGUGAUGACCCGCUGCCCAUGAUCCACAGUUGGCAUCAGUUACAGAAGACUUCUGGAAGAGAGCACUGAAGUGUUUGGGUUUGGUGGGAUGGGGUGGCAGGGAGGGAAACAAAUUAGAAGCACGGGAGCUUGGCAUCUAACACAGAGCCCUGAGGGUGUCAGGUUUGGAUGAACAACUGCUCUAUCACAGUGUCUGUGUAACUGAAACUCUGUCCAAAGAACAGAGUUUGUUCAAGGUUUUUCUCUUCUUGCACUGCUUUUCCUAUUUCCCUCUUGUUUUCCCAGAAAUGGAACAUGACAUUUAUUUUUAUGGACAGCAUGAUCUUAUGGCUAUUCCCCUGUGAUGGAGUAAUCUGAACACAAUUAUGUUCUGUUGACAAAAAGUGAUAAAAGUGUAUUGUGUCAACACUCUGAACUAACAGAUUUGUCAUCUGCUCUACUCCCAGAAAAUAGAAACAGAAUUAGAAAAUGCUCUGACAGACUCUACCCUUUCCUAUGCUUAGGUAAACCCCAGCUCUGUGCUUGAUUACUGUACUUCAGCAUUCUCCCUCUUCCAGAAAGAUCUGCCUGGUUUUAAAUUCAAGUGUAAAUUUUGUUUUGAUGGACUCUUUUUGGCAGCUUAUAGCUUGUACUCUCUAACAUUUCAUUUCAGUUCUACUAUUACCAUUCCUUUCCAUGGCUUUGAAAAAUCCAGCUUUUUUUGUAUCUUUUUUUCCCCCAUGCAAACUUCUUUCUAGAUAAUGUAUUUGACAAUAUUAUCUGUGUUGUAUCUUCCCUCCAGCUGACUUUCACUUGAGUUCAUGGACAGAAAUCUGCCUGGACUCUUGUUUUCCUGAGAAGACUCCCACAUUCUGCCCAACAUGUAGGGCCAGCCCCAAACACAUGCAAAUUUUCAGUGAAAAGAUGUGCACACAUCAUAACAUAAACCAACAUCCCCUGCUAGGUUUGAAGACAAGUUUGCACUUCCAACUCUUGGUUAGUUGGAUGACAAUUACUGCUUAAGAACUAAAAGAAUGAUUAAAUCCUUCAAGCAAAAUAGAAGAAGCUUUUUCAUGG